rnacentral:rRNA from 1 species
AUGAAAAUUUCUUUCAUUUGCCCAUCAUGUUCGAAUGGACCAGAAGAUACAAUACACGUGUUGUUUCUAUGUCAGAAGGCGAAAGAAGUUUGGAGAAAGCUGGGAUUGCAUGAGGCCAUCAGUAAAGCUUGUGUUAUCGAUCGUGCGGGAGAGGCAGUUCUUGAGUUUUUACUUCUUAUGCCAGAGAAAGAGCUAUCUACAGUAGGCACCCAGAAUGCACAUCAAUUGAUUGCUAUAACAGCCUGGUAUUUAUUGUGGAAUAAACAGUCGCUAGUUCAUCAGGGAAAAGUCCCGAUAUGCUUACCAAACCUUGAUGGGAGACUGUGCUAUAGUGGCAAAUUAUGUUAA